UGCUGGUCUAGUUCAGUGGUAGAACGGCUGCCUUGUAAGCAGCGCGUCAGAGGUUCGAUUCCUUUGCCCAGCACCAA
rnacentral:tRNA from 1 species